CCUACGGGGGGCUGCAGCCGCGGUAAUUCCAGCUCCAAUAGCGUAUAUUAACGUUGUUGCAGUUAAAAAGCUCGUAGUUGAAGUGAGGGAGUGUGUGUUCAUGAGAGCUAGUCUCGAGUGUUCACAACCUCCCCCCUCCAAUCGGUGUAGUGGGGUAUUCAGUUAUUUCACUACUCCUUUGGUCGUUUACUGUGAGAAAAUUAGAGUGUUCAAAGCGGGCGUUUGUUUGAAUAGAUUAGCAUGGAAUAAUGAUUGAAGGCUUUCGUGUUCGAUUUGAUUGGUUUGUUCAUGGAAGCAAGGUUAAAAGGAACAGUUGGGGGUAUUCAUAUUCACUAGUUAGAGGUGAAAUUCUCGGAUUUAUGGAAGAUGAACAGGUGCGAAAGCAUUUACCAAGGAUGUUUUCAUUAAUCAAGAACGAAAGCUAGGGGAUCGAAGAGGAUUAGAUACCCCUGUAGUC
rnacentral:rRNA from 1 species